rnacentral:tRNA from 1 species
GGGGGUGUAGCUCAGCAGUAGAGCAGUUGUCCACAGAUCAACAGGUCCCUGGUUCAAGUUCAGGUAUCCCAU